GACAGUUUAACAAAAACCUAGGUUUCUGCUAAUUCGUAAGAAGACGUAUAGAAACUGACGCCUGCCCAGUGCUGCAAGAUUAAUUUUUUAGGUUUUGGCUUGAAAAAGAAACCCCAGUAAACGGCGGCUGUAACCUUGACGGUCCGAAGGUAGCGAAAUUCCUUGGCAUUUAAUUGGUGUCCUGCAUGAAUGGCGUAAUGACUGUCCUACUGUCUCCAACACAAUCUCAGUGAAAUUAAAAUUUCCGUGAAGAUGCGGAAUACUUACGGCUAGACGGAAAGACCCUGUGCAUUUUUACUAUAGGUAUGCAUUGCAGUAAAAAUUUUUAUGUAUAGAAUAAGUAGGAGUUUAUGAUAUCUUUACGUUUAUAGUAAAUUAUGAAAACUUAAGUGAAAUACUACUCUUAAAGCUUUUUACUGCUAAUAUAUAAAUUAAACUAUUGCGUAUCGGGUAGUUUGACUGGGGCGGUCGC
rnacentral:rRNA from 1 species